GUUUUAUAUUUUGCUGAGCUUGUGCCUGAAUUCUAACUUUUCCAGGCUUUAAAAAAUCGUAUUCAGAGCAAAGCAAGAGAAACAUCUUUAUCUAACUUCUGUUUUUGAAUGGGAAGACUAAAUGUGGACUUAAGCAUUGACUUUUAUGUAGUUAAAAUACAAGUUUCUUGGCUUCCUUAUGCAGCUCCGGGGAACAGAUCUGUUACUGCUUUCCCAGCUACCCACAGGGAACGUAGGGAAAAUGGCUGCUCCUGUUGGUGAAGCUUGAUUUCAGACCCAUUAACUUCCCUAUAUGAAGUACUGCUCUUCAGAAGGAUGGAGCAAUUCAUAACUCGAAAGGGCCUUUUAAAUGUGCCCUCUGAGGGCUCAUUCUGCUGACUGCCAAUGGCAGUUACACUCCCAAAUCCCUCUGGAGCUUCUUGAAAGCUUCUCCUCUCCCAGAAUAGCAGCACCUUCCCUGAAGCUGUGCAAACGCUGGCAUUGCAUAUGCCUUUUAUCUCUGGUUCAGCCUGUGGAGCCAAUAUCCCAAUCAGCCACUCUUGGUUGGAAGCCCAGAGAUGUGCUGACCUGCUUUGCAUCCCCAUAGGGAAACCCAAUGGAGGAGCACGACGGACCCAGGCCCUGCACCUGUCUGCUGUGCCCCAAACAAGACGUGGCCUUUCUCCAUGAGCAACGCUAUCAGACUUUUCAGGUCAAGGUCCCAAUAGAGCUAUCCAACCUGCAAACACAACUGGGGCGUACAGAUGAAUUACUGAUGUGAAAACAGGAUUGUGGAGUUGUGAGCUUGUGCUGUAAAAGUAGCAGGUGCAUUGCAUGACUCCAAAGGGGAACUGCUCUGUUUGGUGCUUGAAACAAAACUUCGUUGCUGAGCUUCAGGGAUUAAGGGAAGGGAUUGUAUUUGCCUGCUGCAGUUAGAUGCAGCGUCCUCAAGGACCCCAGAACCUGCAUGGAGACAUGGAGGAGAGAGGAAAUAACCUUUACAGAAAGAAAAUCAGUCAAAUCAUCUUUAGCAUUCAAACAAAAGAUGAUAUGUAUAAGGCCGUCUGUGUUAUUUUUUUCCCCAUUAAGAAUGUUAUUAAUGAAGGAAAUGAACGAGGACUUCAAGGACAAAAAAAUACUCUUCUGCCAAUUCAAGAAAAGAUAAUGGAUGAGGUGUUACAGAACCUGUAGGUGAGUUCAAGUUUGC
rnacentral:lncRNA from 1 species